AGAUUACUUUCUUUAUAGAGGUUCUAGUGACCAACAGAAGGCUCUAGUGAUCAAUCAGAAGGUUCUAGUGAUCAAUCAGAAGGUUCUAGUGAUCAAUCGACGGUUCUAGUGAUCAAUCAGAAGGUUCUAGUGACCAACAGAAGGUUCUAG